rnacentral:rRNA from 1 species
UGGGGAAUAUUGGACAAUGGGGGCAACCCUGAUCCAGCCAUGCCGCGUGAAUGAUGAAGGCCUUCGGGUUGUAAAGUUCUUUUGGCGGGGACGAUGAUGACGGUACCCGCAGAAUAAGCUCCGGCUAACUUCGUGCCAGCAGCCGCGGUAAUACGAAGGGGGCUAGCGUUGUUCGGAAUUACUGGGCGUAAAGGGCGCGUAGGCGGCUUGAUAAGUUGGGUGUGAAAGCCCCGGGCUUAACUCGGGAACUGCACUCAAGACUGUCUUGCUUGAAUUCGGUAGAGGAUGGUGGAAUUCCCAGUGUAGAGGUGAAAUUCGUAGAGAUUGGGAAGAAUAUCCGUGGCGAAGGCGGCCAUCUGGACCGACAUUGACGCUGAGGCGCGAAAGCGUGGGGAGCAAA